CUACGGGCCGCUCCAGUAGGGAAUCUUCGGCAAUGGACGGAAGUCUGACCGAGCAACGCCGCGUGAGUGAAGAAGGUUUUCGGAUCGUAAAGCUCUGUUGUAAGAGAAGAACGAGUGUGAGAGUGGAAAGUUCACACUGUGACGGUAUCUUACCAGAAAGGGACGGCUAACUACGUGCCAGCAGCCGCGGUAAUACGGAGGUCCCGAGCGUUGUCCGGAUUUAUUGGGCGUAAAGCGAGCGCAGGCGGUUAGAUAAGUCUGAAGUUAAAGGCUGUGGCUUAACCAUAGUACGCUUUGGAAACUGUUUAACUUGAGUGCAGAAGGGGAGAGUGGAAUUCCAUGUGUAGCGGUGAAAUGCGUAGAUAUAUGGAGGAACACCGGUGGCGAAAGCGGCUCUCUGGUCUGUAACUGACGCUGAGGCUCGAAAGCGUGGGGAGCAAACAGGAUUAGAUACCCCUGUAGUC
rnacentral:rRNA from 1 species